rfam:Paraphaeosphaeria sporulosa strain AP3s5-JAC2a unplaced genomic scaffold CC84scaffold_8, whole genome shotgun sequence.
ACAUACGACCACAGGAUCCUGAAUACAGCGCUUCCCGUUCGCUCAGCGGUACUUAAGCAGGAUACCGGCGGAUUAGUACGAAAGUUGGUGACAAUUUCGGAAUCCCCGCUGUUGUAUGUU